rnacentral:rRNA from 1 species
UAGACGUGAUGUGGACUGAAAAUAAGUAGGGAAGCACGUGAGCUGACUGUCAAGAAAAGCCGCUAUUGUUUGCAGGAUACCCGUACCGUAAACCGACACAGGUGGAUGAGGAGAGAAUCCUAAGGCCGACGGGAGAAGCAUUGUUAAGGAACUCGGCAAAAUGACUCCGUAACUUCGGGAGAAGGAGUGCCAGUAAGAUGGCCGCAGAGAAUUGGCCCAAGCAACUGUUUAGCAAAAACACAGGUCUAUGCAAAACCGAAAGGUGAGGUAUAUGGGCUGACGCCUGCCCGGUGCUGGAAGGUUAAGGGGAGAGGUUAGCGCAAGCGAAGCUUUGAACUUAAGCCCCAGUAAACGGCGGCCGUAACCAUAACGGUCCUAAGGUAGCGAAAUUCCUUGUCGGGUAAGUUCCGACCCGCACGAAAGGCGUAAUGAUUUGGGCACUGUCUCAACAAUGCACCCGGUGAAAUUGAAAUACCAGUGAAGAUGCUGGUUACCUGCGCCAGGACGGAAAGACCCCAUGGAGCUUUACUCCAGCUUGAUACUGGGAUUCGGUAUUGCAUGUACAGGAUAGGUGGGAGGCUAGGAAAUGGUAACGCCAGUUGCCAUGGAGCCAAUGUUGGGAUACCACCCUUGCAGUACUGGGUUUCUAACCAGCAGCCGUGAUCCGGCUGGGGGACAAUGUCAGGUGGGGAGUUUGACUGGGGCGGUCGCCUCCGAAAGGGUAUCGGAGGCGCUCAAAGGUUCCCUCAGAAUGGUUGGAAACCAUUCGAAGAGUGCAAAGGCAGAAGGGAGCUUGACUGCGACACCGACGGGUGGAGCAGGUACGAAAGUAGGACUUAGUGAUCCGGUGGUAUAAAGUGGGAUUGCCGUCGCUCAACGGAUAAAAGCUACCCUGGGGAUAACAGGCUUAUCACUCCCAAGAGUUCACAUCGACGGAGUGGUUUGGCACCUCGAUGUCGGCUCAUCGCAUCCUGGGGCUGAAGUAGGUCCCAAGGGUUGGGCUGUUCGCCCAUUAAAGCGGUACGCGAGCUGGGUUCAGAACGUCGUGAGACAGUUCGGUCCCUAUCCGGCGUGGGCGUAAGAUAUUUGAGAGGAGCUGUCCUUAGUACGAGAGGACCGGGAUGGACUGGCCGCUGGUGUAUCUGUUGUCUUACCAAAAGGCAUAGCAGAGUAGCCAAGCCGGGAAGGGAUAAACGCUGAAGGCAUCUAAGCGUGAAGCCCCCCUCAAGAUGAGAUAUCUCAUAACGUCAAGUUAGUAAGACCCCUUGAAGACGACGAGGUAGAUAGGGCAGAGGUGGAAGUGUGGUAACACAUGGAGCUGACUGUUACUAAUAGGUCGAGGGCAUAACCU